AGAUCAUUUUUAAGUGAACUUGGUGCACGUGGCAUUCAAGACAGCAAAGUUUAAGAGCAUCACAGGGACCCAAGUGGUUGAACAGCACAGAAAACAUUGUUUGAGCAGAGAAAGUGUGAUUCAAAGCAGAUGAUUUUAACAGCACCACGAGACAAACAGUUCAGCGGCACAGAGAACAGUGUUCAUGCAAGAUCCUUUGUAAGUGAACUUGGCGCACGUGGCAUUCAACACAGCUGAGUGGGAUACCAAGCAUAAAACGGCACAGAAAAUAGACGCUGAUGAAGAACGGAUGUCCGAGGACCUUGCUGCUCAAAAAAUGAAGAUCUACAGCAUCAUGUCCAGCUCAGCAGAGGGGCCGAGCGAUGUUGGUGUCGUCAUUGAGGGAGUGAAAGUUCUCACCACUCUGGGUACCUUUGCCAGGGCUUGCUGCAUGCUCCUCGGGCUGACUUAUGCACUAAAUCUGGCCUACCCUAAGGAGCUCAGAUAUACAUUUGAAAUCUUCCAGAAGCUCCUUCUGGAGCUGGACUGUUCGAAGCAGUCCCCAAAGCUGCACACUUUGAAGAGUAAGUUGUUGGACUAAGGAAAUGCCGAACUGGACACUUGAGCUGAGGCGGUGCAAUGGACACUUGACUUCAGUUUUUCAGAACUUAAUGACUUAAAGAUUUACCUUUUAAUUUCUCCAAACACUACUUUUUCAAGCAGGUUGACACGCACAAAAAAGUCAAAUGUGUUAUGCCAUCAUCGGUUGAUUUGUUGAUAUCUGAUGUGUCUGUAGAUGUGUUUGAAGCUGUGAACGAAACAUUAACUGUUAUAUCUACUGUGCUGUUAAGCAAACUUAUGCUAAGACCGUGCGAUGGACACUUGAGCUGAGGCAUUGCGAUGUGUACAUUGUGUAGUGGCCAACAACCUUAUGCCACAUGGACUAGGUAGGGCCGUCCACUAAUAGGGCCGUCCAUUUGUAGAUUUUGUCUUGGGCAUUCUUCACAAUAUCAGACACAUGAAGGUAUAAUUCCAAAGGAAUUAGCAUUGUGUUUUCAGAUACUUGCAAAGAAAAAGUACUUCAGUUUGUCUGAAAUUAAUGACUUAAUUGGACAUUUUCCUUUUAAGGGAUCAGAUAAAGCCAACUGCCCUCAAGCAGUUCCUAAAAGCUACAUUCACCGCAAAACAUUCACCAUGAAAAUUGGGCCUUAAUAAGGUUGUUCUCAUUGUUGGUCCACUGCACUACACUUCAUGUGUCUGAUGUUCUGAAGAAUGACGAAUACAGAAUAUGCAGACUGGUG